GAGCAGGAGAAGAUUCGAGUACACAACCUAGUACAUCACAGCAGGACCCCGGUAAACACCACCGCUCCAGUACAGUCGGAUGCCAAACAGACCGUACAAAGACUGUUUCUGUGGGAACUCUACAGAGGGCUGACACACGGUCUGUGGGAACUCUACAGAGGGCUGAGACACGGUCUGUGGGAACACAGACAGUGGAAUUGAAAGUGUCAGUUGCUACACAGUUGUCCCGUGGAACACUGAAGUCGGCACACGUGAGGAGCAAAGGCAUCCAGGCCACGGUUUCUUUCCAAAGUGUUGGCACUGAAACUUCCACCUACCCAGAUUUCCCCUUGGCCUCUACACCAAUAAAGGGCCCAGGACUGGGACCUAGGAAGAGACCUCGACUGGAGUUGGAGGAGGAACAAGGAGAGACUUCAACUGAAUUUGAAGAGACUCUGGAUUCGAGUUACCACCCUGAUGAUUCUGUACUUGCAGAAGAA